UUGAAAUAAAUACUUUCAGCGUAUACUUCCUAAAUGUAAAACCCUUCCCCCUUUUAAUUCUAGAAUCUAGAGUGUAAAGAGCUUUUGGAAUGAUGAUAGGUAUGUAAGAUUUAUCAUAAAAAUAUUAUUUUCCCAAAUGUAUUAUCUCAGUACUUAGAUCCUAUUUAUCUCUAGGUUGUGACAGUCCUUGAAAUAAAAUUUAAGUUAAUACCAUG
rnacentral:lncRNA from 1 species